UAUACACAUUUAUCUUCUUUAAGUGAAUUUUUUUUAAAGAAAAUGUUUGGCUGUAGUUGCAGGGAGUUGCUUAUUGUUUCGAUGAUCUUGCUUUUACUUAUGUUUCCUCCAUUGGAAACAGUUAUGGCUGAUGAUCAAACCAAAGUUGUCAAUCCCAGAGAGAAGAAGAGUGAAAGGCAUGAAAAUUUAAAGGAAAAUAAAAUAAAUACUGGUAAGCAUGAUUCACCACCAGCUGGUCAUUACAGUAGGGGUGAUAGUCAUUUGUCUCGGCAAGGUAGAAAGCUGUGGAAUUGAAUGCUAUUUAUACACACCGACCAUCAACAAGUUAAGCUCUUCAAUGUAGUGUAUAUGUAUAUUUAUAAAGACAGCAAGGCUUAAUUAUUAGUCAGUUUUUAUUUAUGUGAUAAUGAAGUUGUAUUUAGAAUAAUGAAAAAAUAAAUAAAAUAAAAAUAAGAAUGACCUUGCUUAUAUA